UACGUAGGUGACAAGCGUUGUCCGGAAUUACUGGGCGUAAAGAGCGCGCAGGCGGCUGGUCAAGUCCGAUGUGAAAGCUCCCGGCUUAACUGGGAAAUUGCAUCGGAAACUGAUCGGCUUGAAGGUGGGAGAGGGUAGUGGAAUUCCCGGUGUAGUGGUGAAAUGCGUAGAUAUCGGGAGGAACACCAGUGGCGAAGGCGACUACCUGGCCCACUCUUGACGCUGAGGCGCGAAAGCUAGGGGAGCGAACGGG
rnacentral:rRNA from 1 species